AGUGAACGCUGGCGGUAGGCCUAACACAUGCAAGUCGAACGGCAGCACAGUAAGAGCUUGCUCUUACGGGUGGCGAGUGGCGGACGGGUGAGGAACACAUCGGAAUCUACUUUUUCGUGGGGGAUAAUGUAGGGAAACUUACGCUAAUACCGCAUACGACCUACGGGUGAAAGCAGGGGAUCUUCGGACCUUGCGCGAUUGAAUGAGCCGAUGUCGGAUUAGCUAGUUGGCGGGGUAAAGGCCCACCAAGGCGACGAUCCGUAGCUGGUCUGAGAGGAUGAUCAGCCACACUGGAACUGAGACACGGUCCAGACUCCUACGGGAGGCGGCAGUGGGGAAUAUUGGACAAUGGGCGCAAGCCUGAUCCAGCCAUACCGCGUGGGUGAAGAAGGCCUUCGGGUUGUAAAGCCCUUUUGUUGGGAAAGAAAAGCAGCAGGUUAAUACCCCGCUGUUCUGACGGUACCCAAAGAAUAAGCACCGGCUAACUUCGUG
rnacentral:rRNA from 1 species